CUCACAGAGGUCAGCUUUCUGGAGGCUCUAAAAAGCAAAUCAGGCUUUAACCUGGAAGAGACAUCUCUCAUAAGCAUAUUUUCAGCUAGACCACCUUAUGCUCAAAGCAGGUCUUCUUCUUACCCUCAGGCCAUAAUACAAAAGUUUUCUAUCAUCCCAGCCUUGGGAGGCACCAGGCUCCAGGAAGGAUGCCACAUUGGCCAAAUGGGAUGGAGAAAGAGGAAGACUAGCAUGUGCAAAGUCCCUGGGGCAGAAGGAAUCAAUCAUGACAGAUUCAGGAAACUUAGUGGAGGGGUGUCUGGGUGGCUCAGUUGGUUAAGCAUCUGACUCUUGAUUUCGGCUUGGGUCAGGAUCUCAGGGUCAUGGGAUUGGGCUCUGCACUGGGUGUGAGGCCUGCUUAUUCUCUCUCAGCCUCCCUUUCCCUCUGCCCCUCUCCCUCCCAAAAGAAAAAGAAACGUAAUGGAGGCCAAUGUAGCACAGAGAACAAAGAGGAGAGGGAGAGAGAUGAGGUCAGGGUCCACAUCAUGAAGGUGCCAAAGGGCGUGGCCUGUAUUUUGCUGGCUAGGAGGCAAGAGAGAUGCCCCUUCACCUUCGGGAACAUUUGAUGGGAGGCCACCAUCUUCUGAGCCAGGUUCCUUCCAACCCCUGCUCUGGCCCCUUCAGGUGCUCUCCUGGGCUUGUUUUUGUUUUUUUAAAGAUUUUAUUUAUUUAUUUUGACAGAGAGAGAGAGAGCACAAGCAGGGGGAAUGGCAGGGGGAGAGGGAGAAGCAGACCCCCGCUGAGCAGGGGGCUCGAUUCCAGGACCCUGGGAUCAUGACCUCAGCCAAAGGCAGACACUUAAUGGACUGAGCCACCCAGGCGUCCCUCUCUUGGGCUUGUUUCUCUUUAUCUCUCAGGGCCCAAAGCAAGGGUGUGGCUCACUAAGCGGACCAGGAACACUCAUGGAGACUGGCAGGCAGAGCCUCUAGCAGGGUCAAUGUAGCUCCAGUAAAGGUGUCUCCAGUCGUUGGAGAGGAGGACUUAAGUGCAGGCGUGUCUGACACUGACCUGACCACUACCUUGCAGUACCCUCAUACUCCCAUGGGACGGAAGUGAGCGGAGAGUGCAAGCUGUCCCGGGGAGGUGAGUGGAAGCCCUUCCUAGCGGGCUGACUUGUCCCCAGGAUGGCUGUGGCCUCUGCAGGAGGAGGGGAGCUCCCUGUCCCAGGAGGGGUGCAGAAGAGCCAGGAGGUUGUAGUGGAGCUUUGGAGGGGUAGUUAGACCAGCCCCCGUUCAGGACUGCUGCAGAGCCCCUCCGGCGGGGAGCCAGCUCAUCUUACUUCUGUCCCAACGGCCCUCUUGGUUCCUCUCUUUCUCAUCUCUGCCUCUGCGACUGGGGCAAAUUCGUUUACCUCUCUGAGCCUCAGUUUGCUCAUCUGUAAAAUGGGGCCAUGCUUUGCGUCUGCACUUUAGGGUUAUUCUGAGGACUGGAUAAACUCCUAGAUAGUGUCUGGCACCGGGUCAGGAAGCCCAAGGCGCAGUUAGUAAGACCAAUUAUUGCUGUUGCCCCCUUCUCCCCUCCUUUCAUUCUGAGAGCACCGCGGGCCAGGGGCCAGGCCCACUGGGUUCUCCUCUUUGCCAUCCCGUCCCCGCCCCCUCAGUGUGCCGGGAGGCCGGGAGAGAGGAACUCAGCCGGGGUUCUCCCGCGGCGCCCUGACCCCCUCCCCGCGCGCGCGCCCCUGCCUCCGAGUCGCCUCCCGGGGCCGUACCUGGGCCGGGGCGCACGGCGUGGGGAGCGCGGGAGCCGCCGUGCGCCCCCGCCCAGCCCGCGCCUCCGCGGGCCGCGGCGAUUCGAAUCCACGUGAUUUCCCGGCAGCGGCCGCCGGCUCCCAGCGCUGGCCCGGGCGCUCUCCGCCCGCUUUCAGUUUCGUGCGCCGCGCAGCGACGCAGGAGCGCGGCGGGGCCGCAGCGCGGCGGGAACCUACUCUAUGGAAACAACCUGCAAAUCCAGCUCAGAGCACAGGACUUGGCUCAGGUACUCAUGAGACCAUCUCCGUGGACACCCUAGAACAUCUAUGAUGAACCAGGAGGCCAAGGCCAGCUCCUCAUGGACCUCGUUAGCCUCCAGCUGGGCACUGAGCACCUGUGGAGCUGGCUUGUGAGGCUGCUCAGCAAAGACCCAGAAUGGCUGAAUGCCAAGAUGAAGUUCUUCCUCACCGAGAUGGAGCUGAGCUCCGGGGACAAGGCCCAGGAUGCCACAGAGGGGGUCAUCCUACAACUCAGAAGACUGCACGCUCAUGGCCAGGCCACUUGGCAGGCUUUCAUCCAUUGCGUGUGCAUGGAGCUGGAGGUACCGCUGGACCUGGAGGUGCCGCUGCUGAGCACCUGGGGCCACGGAGACGGGUUCCCCAGCCAGCUGGAGGCUGGUGAAGAAAGCCAGCCUACCUCUCAGCUCCACCAUGGCCUCAAGCGGCCUUAUCAGAGCUGUGGGUCCUCACCCCGCCCGAAGCAGUGCAAGAAGCAGCAGCUAGAGCUGGCCAGGAGGUACCUGCAGCUGCUGAAGACCUCCGCCCAGCGGCGCUAUGGCAGCCGGAUCCCGGGGCCAGGGCAACCCCUUGCCUUCCACCAGGCCUACAUCCCCCCGAUCCUGCAGUGGAGCCGGACCACGGCACCCUUCAACACCCAGGAGGGGGCCACCCUGGGGGACCCCAAGGCAGAAGACGGCACUGAUGUGAGCAUCCGGGACCUCUUCAACACCAGGGCCGACAAGGGCCCAAGGGUGACGGUGCUCCUGGGCAAGGCGGGCAUGGGCAAGACCACCCUGGCCCACCGGCUCUGCCAGAGGUGGGCCGACGGCCAGCUGGACCGCUUCCAGGCCCUGUUCCUUUUCGAGUUCCGCCAGCUCAACCUGAUCACACAUCUCCUGACGCUGCCCCAGCUCCUUUUUGACCUGUACCUGAGCCCCGAGGCGGGCCCUGACUCGGUCUUCCAGUACCUGGAGGAGAACGCUAACGGAGUUCUGCUGAUCUUUGAUGGGCUGGACCAGGCCCUCCACCCCCAUUCCAGCAGGGAGAGGGAAGGUCCUGAGGAGCCAAGUCCGGCCCUUGCCCUCUUCUCUGGCCUCUGCCGGGGGACCCUGCUGCCUGGCUGCUGGGUACUGACCACUUCCCGUCCAGGGAAGCUGCCCGACUGCCUGCCCACAGAGGCAGCCACGGUCCACAUGUGGGGCUUUGACAGGCCGCGGGUGGAGGAGUACAUGGUCCGCUUCUUCACGGACCAGCUGUGUCAGGAGGCGGCCCUGGCAGAGCUGCGGAAAAGCAGACACCUCCAGAGCAUGUGCGCAGUGCCCGCGCUCUGCCAGGUCACCUGCCUGUGCCUCCACCGUCUGCUCCCGCGCAGCUGUCCAGGCCAGUCUGCGGCCCUCCUGCCCACUGUGACUCAGAACUACGUGCAGAUGGUGUCCACCCUCGGCCCCCGAGGCUACCCGCCUCCCGAGUCCCUGCUGGACCUCAGUGAGGUGGCCCUGAGGGGCCUGGAGACCGGCAAGGUUAUCUUCUCCAUAGGAGACAUCCGUCCAUCCACGAUGGCCUUCGGGGCUGCCCUCAGCCUGUUGACCUCCUUCUGCGUCUGCACGGGCCCUGGGCACCAGGGUACCGGCUAUGCCUUCGCCCACCUCAGCCUACAGGAGUUUUUUGCUGCCUUGUACCUGAUGGUCAACCCCAAGGUGGACAAAAAUGCGCUUGCCGGCCACGUCACCCUCAAUUCUCGCUGGGUGCUGCGGACCAAAGCUAAGCCGGGCCUCUUGGACCACCUCCCCUCCUUCCUGGCAGGGCUGGCGUCCCAUGCCUGCCGACCCUUCCUCAGCCACGUGGCCCGGCGGGAUGAGACGUGGGUGAGUGCCAGGCAGGCUGUGGUGAUGCAGGCCCUGAGGAAGUUGGCCCCGCGCAGGCUCACGGGGCCGAAGGUGGUAGCAUUCUGUCACUGCGUGGGAGAAACCCAGGAGCCUGAGCUGGCCAGCCUCGUGGCCCAAAGUCUCCCCUGCCACCUGUCUUUCCACAAUUUCCCACUGACCUUUGCUGACCUGGCUGCCCUGACCAACAUCUUGGGGCACAGGAAUGCCCCUAUCCACCUGGAUUUUGAGGGGUGUCCCCUGGAGCCCCACUGCCCUGAGGCCCUGGCAGGCUGUAAGCAGGUAGAGAAUCUCAGCUUUAAGAGCAGGAAAUGUGGGGACGCCUUUGCAGAAGCCCUCUCCAGGAGCCUGCCGACAAUGGGGAGCCUGAAGAAGCUGGGGUUAGCAGGAAGUAAGAUCACUGCCCGAGGCAUCAGCCACCUGGUGCAGGCUUUGCACCUCUGUCCACAGCUGGAAGAGGUCAGCUUUCAGGACAACCAGCUCAAGGACUGGGCUGUGCUGAACAUCGUGGAAGUACUUCCUUGUUUGCCACGGCUCCAGAAGCUUGACCUGAGCCGCAACAAUGUCUCCGUGUCAACCUUACUCUGCUUGACAAAAGUGGCAGUCGCAUGCCCUACUGUCAGGACCCUGCAGGUCAGGGAGGCGGAGCUCAUCUUCCUUCUUUCCCCGCCCGCAGAGACUGCUGCAGAGCUGCAAGGAGCGCCAGACCUACAGGGAAAUGCUGGCCAGAGGAAAGAGGCUGAGAGCAGAAGCCUGACACUCAGGCUCCAGCAGUGUCAGCUCAGGGUCCAUGACGUGCAGGAACUCAUAGCCCAGCUCCAGGAAGGCCCCUGCCUGGACGAAGUAGACCUUUCAGGAAACCAGCUGGACGAUGAAGGCUGUCGACUGAUGGCAGAGGCCGCAUCUCAGCUGCACAUCACCAGGAGUCUGGACCUCAGCGACAACCGGCUCUCUGUCGACGGGGUGCCUUGUGUGCUGAGGGCGGUGAGCACGUGCCAGACCCUGGCCGAGCUGCACAUCAGCGUGCUGUACAAAACUGUGGUCUUCACGUUUGCCCCAGAGCAGGAGCAGCUGAAGGAGAUCCGGAAGGGGGCUGCGCUUCGGGUCAGCCUGACGUGCCGGAUGCCCUCUGAGCUGCCCCUGCGCCCCACGAGAAUCAGGCUGACACACUGCGGCUUGCAAGCCAAGCACCUCGAGCAGCUCUGCAGGGCGCUGAGAGGAAGCUGCCACCUCGGCCACCUGGACCUCUCAGGCAAUGCUCUGGGGGACGAAGGCGCAGCCCAGCUGGCCCAGCUGCUCCCAGGGCUGGGACCUCUGCAGUCCUUGGACCUCAGUGAGAACAGUUUGUCCCUGGAUGCGGUGUUCAUGUUGACCCCGUGCUUCUCAACUCUGCAGUGGCUUCUCCACUUGGACAUCAGCUCUGAGAGCCAGCACGUUGUCCUGAGAGGUGACAGAACAGGCAGGGAUCGAUUGGCUGGUGGAUCUUUGCCAGAGUUCCCGGCUGGAGCCCAAUUCUUGGCCUUUCGUCAGCCCCGCGUCCCCAGGAGCCUCUGCCUCAGGCAGUGUCAGCUGGAGCCCCUGAGCCUCACCCACCUCUGUGAGACUCUGGAGAAGUGCCCGGGGCCUCUGGAAGUCAAAUUGUCCUGUGAGGUCCUGAGUGACCAGAGCCUGGAGACCCUGCUGCACCACUUACCCCAGCUCCCCCAGCUAAGCCUGCUGCAGCUAAGUGAGACGAGGCUGUCCCCGAAGAGCCCCCUCCUGCUGGCUGAUCUCUUCAGCCUGUGCCCACGGAUUCAGAAGGUGGAUCUCAGGUCCCUGUAUCACAUGACCCUGCACUUCAGGUCUAGCAAGGAGCAGGAAGGCGAAUGCUGUGGCGCCCCCUCCUUGGGCUUGGGCCCCUCCUCCAGCAGGUUCACGGGCUGUGGCCUCAGUCAGGAGCACGUGGAGCCGCUGUGCUGGUUGCUGAGCAAAUGUGAAGACCUCAACCAGCUGGACCUCUCCGCGAACAUGCUGGGUGAUGACGGGCUCAGGUGCCUCCUGGAAUGUCUGCCUCAGUUGCCCAUCUCCGGUUCGCUUGACCUGAGUCACAACAACAUCUCCCUAGAAAGUGCCCUGGGCCUGGUGAAGACACUCCCCUCCUGCCCACGCAUCCGGGAGGCCUCCGUGAACCUGGGCUCUGAGCAGAGCUUCUGGAUCCACUUCUCCAGACGGGAGGAGGCCAGGAAGACACUGAGGCUGAGCCAGUGCAGCUUCGGGCUGGAGCAUGUGCCCAGACUGGCCACCAACCUGAACCAGGCCCUGCAGCUGACCGCACUCACGCUGACCCAGUGCUGCCUGGGCCUGGAACAGCUGACGCUUCUCUUGAGUCUGCUGAGGUGGCCGGUGGGGCUGUUCAGUCUCAGGGUGGAGGAGCCGUGGGUAGGCAAAGCCGGGGUGCUCACUCUGCUAGAAGUCUGCACGCAGGCCUCAGGCAACGUCACUGAAAUAAGCAUUUCCGAGAUCCAGCAGCAGCUCUGUCUCCAGUUGGAGUUUCCCCGUCAGGAGAACCCAGAGGCCAUGGCCCUCAGGUUGGCUCACUGUGACCUUGGGACCCACCACAACCUUCUUGUCUGGCAGCUGAUGGAGACAUGUGCCAGGCUGCGGCAGCUCAGCUUGUCCCAGGUGAACCUCUGCAACACUAGCUCCCUGCUUCUGCAAAGUCUCCUGGAGGCCCUCUCCGAGCUGAAGACAUUCAGGCUGACCUCCAGCCAUGUGAGCUCCGAGGGCCUGGCCCACCUGACAUCUGGUCUGAGCCACUGCCACCACCUGGAGGGGCUGGACUUGUCCAACAAUCAGUUUGGUGAGGAGGACGCCGAAGUGCUGUUGGGGGUCCUUGAGGGGAUGUGCCGGCUGAAGAGGCUCGACCUCAGCCAUCUCCCGCUCAGCAGCUCCGCCCUGGCCAUGCUUACUCAACGACUAAGCCACAUGACCCUCCUGCAGAGCCUCCGCCUGAGCAGGAACGGUAUUUGUGAUGUCAGCUGCUACCAGCUUUUCGAGGCUCUCAGAGCGGCCAGCAGCUUGCAGGAGCUGGGAUUUCAGCCUGCUCUUCUGUUCUGGGAGGAGGAUGUGGACAAAAUGACCUGGGUGGCAGGCGGAUGGUUCCAGUUCUACUGUUCUCUCCCCAAGCUUGAGCCACAACCAGAUCAGAGACAUCGGAGCCCAGCACUUGGCUGCCGUCCUACCAGGGCUGCCCGAGCUCAGGAAGAUCGACCUCUCAGGGAAUGGCAUUGGCCCAGAUGGGGGAGUGCGGUUGGCAGAGUCUCUCGCCCUUUGCAAGCACUUGGAGGAGCUGAUGCUUGGCUACAAUGUCCUGGGGAAUAUCACAGCCCUGGAGCUGGCCCAGAGACUGCCCCAGCACCUGAGAGUCCUGCACCUGCCAUCUAGUGGUCUGAGUCAAGAGGGGGCGCAUUUCCUGAGCCAGGCCCUGGAUGGAUGCCCAUAUGUGGAGGAGAUCAACUUGGCAGAGAACAGUCUGGCCAGAGAGGUCCCACAUUUCCAUCAGGGGCUCCCCCUGCUCAGGCAGAUAGACCUGGUUUCGUGUGAGAUUGACAACCACGCUGCCAAGCCCCUUGCCGCCAGCCUGGCUCUCUGCCCAGCCCUGGAGGAAAUCCUGCUGUCCUGGAAUCUGCUCGGGGAUGAGGCGGCUGCGGAGCUGGCCCAGGUCCUGCCGCAGAUGAGCCGGCUGAAGAGAAUGGACCUGGAGAAGAACCAGAUCACAGCUUGUGGAGCCUGGCUCCUGGUUGAAGGGCUGGCACAAGGGUCUGGCAUCCAAGUCAUUCGCCUCUGGAACAACCCCAUCUCCCCCGACAUGGCCCAGUGUCUGCAGAGCCAGGAGCCCAGGCUGGACUUCGCUUUCUUCGACAAGCAGCCCCAGCCCCUCGGGGUAGUUGAUGGCCCCCCUCGAGAUCCUUCGAAUUGAGCCAAGUGAAGCCAACUUCCACUCACCAGGACAGAGGGCUCAGGAAAAGAGCCUCAGCUGGGUGCCCCUGCAUGCUGCCCCAAGAAGGAGGGGCAUAUUUGUCUUGCCACGGUCUUCAGGAAGUGACCAGGAACCUUACAUGGCCAAAAGACUACCCUGUAUUGCAUGGGACAGGCGUGACCAGUUGGGGACAUGUCACACAAUGAAAGUGUCAUGAUGUGAUAUGUGACACGGGUCACACACGGCAGAAUUCUAUGCGACGUUCCGUGGAACUUGCAGCGUGGCCUCGGGGUCAGUGGCAUGGGUCCUGGCACCACACCGUGGCAGGCCACAUGAUCUGUGGUUCGCACAGGACAUGUGACAGAUGCUCCUAUCAUACAACAUGUGGCUGGCCAGAUCCCCUCAGGCUGGUAUAAAAUCUAAUUUAUUACUUUUUAAAGCCAAGGAUGUAUUUAUACAUUGCAUUUUCAGAGCAGCAUGGCCAGGGAGUGUUCUCCAUCCAGAAAUGGGAUGGGGAGAGUGUCCAAGCACUGACUAGCCCAGAGGCCUGAGGGCCAAGCCAGGACUCAGCCACGAGGCUUUUGGAUGAGUCCUGUCUUGCCUCAAGCCUCAGUUUUCCCAUUUGUAAAUGGGAUGGCUCCCUCCUCUUGAACCCUAGCUUCCAAAGACUUUGGGCCCAGAUCUAGGUAUGGUCUUCGGGAAAGGACGGGCCCAGUCUGACCUACGUCACAGAAAAAGCCAGGUCUAAGGGUGUGGAGGUAGGCACUACCAAGAUAAUCAGGGAAGGCCACUGGGUCUAGAUACUACCUCAGCAGGAUCUGGGUGAGCUCCCAGCAGGGGCUGCAUGUGCUACCUGAUGUUCUUGUUCUUUCCAAAAGGGCCCGAGGAUGGCCCUGCCACACUUGAAGCAAAAUUUGACCAAUAAAUGUGGAUGGUGUCCCAGCCUCUACCCUGAGUCUGACAUGUCCUGCUAACUCACCAACGUCAGGAGUGUUUCACCCCCUGCCCCAGGGCCUGGAGAGCAGGACAGACCACAGAGAGAUGACCUGAGAGGAACACUGGCCUCAGAGUCAGGAGACACGGGGUCAAGUCCAGACCCUGUCUCUGCAUGGUCACGGGCUCGUGGGCAAGUUGCCUCCCCGCUCCGGAGUCAGCAGCACCAUGAGGGUAUUAUAGAAGCUCAAAGUGUUAGAAACAUUCUUUGUUUGACUUGCAUGAUAUUUAAACUCU